AACGAACGCUGGCGGCAGGCUUAACACAUGCAAGUCGAACGGUUGUAGCAAUACAGCAGUGGCAGACGGGUGAGUAACAUGUGGGAACCUUCCUAGGGGUACGGAACAACUCAGGGAAACUUGAGCUAAUACCGUAUACGUCCGUGAGGAGAAAGAUUUAUCGCCCUUAGACGGGCCCGCGUCGGAUUAGCUAGUUGGUGGGGUAACGGCCUACCAAGGCGACGAUCCGUAGCUGAUCUUAGAGGAUGAUCAGCCACACUGGGACUGAGACACGGCCCAGACUCCUACGGGAGGCAGCAGUGGGGAAUCUUGGACAAUGGGCGCAAGCCUGAUCCAGCCAUGCCGCGUGAGUGAAGAAGGUCUUCGGAUUGUAAAGCUCUUUUGCCAGGGACGAUAAUGACUGUACCGGGAGAAUAAGCCCCGGCUAACUUCGUGCCAGCAGCCGCCGUAA
rnacentral:rRNA from 1 species